CUGCCUGCAUGCAUGUAUGUGUGCUUGUUUGUGUUCAUCAAUGUGCGCGUGCGCGCUUUUGUGUCUGCGCUUUGAGAGUGCGUAUACUUGUGUGUGCGUGUGGAUGCGUUUUGUGUGCAUGCGUAUGUAUUGCAUGAGGCCGGUAGAGUUUUACUCGCAAUAAAACUCUUCCGAUUUGGUGCAGCGAGUGUACCCGCCUGAAAGCCGAGUUUGGUUUCAAGCCACCCUGGACAACUGCUGUAUGAGGCGCCGUUUCUCGGGAGGACCAGUGGGAAGGUCAUGCAGAUGGUAGCAGCAAUUUCACAAUGCCCAGCCUUGGCGCCCCCCAUCAAGAGCAAGCCACUUGCGUUCGCCUUCACACAGAUGGUUAAUGUCUUCUUGAAAGCGGUUGAGAAGACAACAUUGAUGCAAGAUUCCAGCAAUGCCAUGCGCUGCAUUUAUUGGUCAAGAUGCUCAGAGAAUGGAGUCCCUGCACCUCGUGGUUAACCGUGAACAUUUCUUUUUCUUUUGGAAAGCUAAAGGCCAUUUGCUGCAUCCCUUGCAUUUUUGCAGCUCAGAUGUGUACUAUAUUUUUCUAAUUUUGAAUCAAUAUUGGCUGUUCAGUAUAAAAAAUGACGUACAGCGUGAAGGACAAGGACUGCGAGAGACACACUCCACUGACAUUCAACAAUAUUUUAUUGCGUUGCCACAUCGUGUGUGUAUACACAGAGGGGUCAUGCGCAGAAAAUGAAAGCCAGUCACAAGGGGUGUUCUAACAGCAAGUCAUUGUAAAAAGAACAUGGUCACUUGAAAAAAAAAAACAUCACAAUUUC